AGCCAUUUAGCUUAAUGGUAGAGUACUCAGUUGGUAACUGAGGGGUGUGGGUUUGAGUCCCGUGGCUG
rnacentral:tRNA from 1 species